GAUGAACGCUGGCGGCGUGCCUAAUACAUGCAAGUCGAGCGAGCAGAUGAGGAGCUUGCUCCUCUGACGUUAGCGGCGGACGGGUGAGUAACACGUGGAUAACCUACCUAUAAGACUGGGAUAACUUCGGGAAACCGGAGCUAAUACCGGAUAAUAUAUUGAACCGCAUGGUUCAAUAGUGAAAGACGGUUUUGCUGUCACUUAUAGAUGGAUCCGCGCCGCAUUAGCUAGUUGGUAAGGUAACGGCUUACCAAGGCAUCGAUGCGUAGCCGACCUGAGAGGGUGAUCGGCCACACUGGAACUGAGACACGGUCCAGACUCCUACGGGAGGCAGCAGUAGGGAAUCUUCCGCAAUGGGCGAAAGCCUGACGGAGCAACGCCGCGUGAGUGAUGAAGGUCUUCGGAUCGUAAAACUCUGUUAUUAGGGAAGAACAAAUGUGUAAGUAACUAUGCACGUCUUGACGGUACCUAAUCAGAAAGCCACGGCUAACUACGUG
rnacentral:rRNA from 1 species